GCUGGCGACAAUUUACAACAAAUAACUCAAUGAGAACAAGUGACACAGGGUGAGAUGAAAGCCCACAACUGGCAAAAUCAUCCAAUGAGAGCCCAGAACUGCAAAACGUAUCCAAUCACAACACAGCUGUGAAACACGGAGACGUGAACUCAGUCCUGUAGUAAAUGCUGGUGGUGAGUGAUUGAUUCAUUUUUACAAAUGUAAUACCCUGUGUUGAAAUACAUUACAUUCACUUCAAUGGGUUUGAAAUUCAUUUCAAUGUGUGUAUACAUUUCAUUUAUUUACAUAUACACUGAGUGUACAAAACAUUAUGAGUGUACAAAAACACCUGUUCUUUCCAUUACGUUUUACUUUUAUUUAACUAGGCAAGUCAGUUAAGAACAAAUUCUUAUUUUCAAUGACGGCCUAGGAACAGUGGGUUAACUGCCUUGUUCAGGGGCAGAACGACAGAUUUGUACCUUGUCAGCUCAGGGAUUCGAUCUUGCAACCUUUUGGUUACUAGUCCAACGCUCUAACCACUAGGCUACCUGCCACCCCUAGACUGACCAGGUGAAAGCUAUUAUCCCUUAUUGAUGUCACUUGUUAAAUCCAUUUCAAUCAGUGAAGGACAGGUUAAAGAAGGAUUUUUAAGACUUGAGACAAUUGAGACAUGGAUUGUGUAUGUGGGACAUUCAGAGGGUGAGUGGGCAAGAAAAAUGUGUCUUUGAACAGGGUAUGGUAGUAGGUGCUGGGCGCACCGUUGUGUCAAGAACUGCAACGUUGCUGGGUUUUUCACGCUCAACAGUUUCCCGUGUGUAUCAAGAAUGGUUAACCAACCAAAGGACAUCCAGCUGACUUGACACAACUGCAUCCCCGUGGAACGCUUUCAACACCUUGUAGAGUCCAUACCCCGACAAAUUGAGGCUGUUCUGAGGGCAAAAGGGUGCAAGUCAAUAUUAGGAAGGUGUUCUUAAUGUUUUGUACACUCAUUGUAUGUCAGUCAGUUUAUGACGUUGACUCCUAUUUUCUCCCCAGUUCUCUGGUGUUUUAGUCAUCACAUUUCUCCUGUUAUUUACCCAAACCUGUCAUGAAUAGGUUAGACCAGGCCUGUCAUGAAUAGGUUAGACCAGACCUGUCAUGAAUAGGUUAGACCAGACCUGUCAGGAAUAGGUUAGACCAGACCUGUCAUGAAUAGGUUAGAUCAGACCUGUCAGGAAUAGGUUAGACCAGACCUGUCAGGAAUAGGUUAGACCAGACCUGUCAGGAAUAGGUUAGACCUGUCAUGAAUAUGUUAGACCAGGUGAAGUGAGGGUAGAGGCUGGGCAGGGCUGGGUAUAUCCUGUCAUGAAUAGGUUAGACCAGGUGAAGUGAGGGUAGAGGCUGGGCAGGGCUGGGUAUAUCCUGUCAUGAAUAGGUUAGACCAGGUGAAGUGAGUGUAGAGGCUGGGCAGGGCUGGGUAUAUCCUGUCAUGAAUAGGUUAGACCAGGUGAAGCGAGGGUAGAGGCUGGGCAGGGCUGGGUAUAUCCUGUCAUGAAUAGGUUAGACCAGGUGAAGUGAGGGUAGAGGCUGGGCAGGGCUGGGUAUAACCUGUCAUGAAUAGGUUAGACCAGGUGAAGCGAGGGUAGAGGCUGGGCAGGGCUGGGUAUAUCCUGUCAUGAAUAG
rnacentral:lncRNA from 1 species